UGAGAUACCUUCACCUGGUAGUAAAACUAACUCAGAGUCUUUGUCAUCAGUUUUCGUGGAUGCUCUGAUGGAGACAACAUGAUCUUUGAUUGAUAAAGAGGUUCUAAGUUACGACCAUAACAUCAUCGACAACAACUAUAUUUCGAAGCUUUGCUUUAAUAAUUAAGUUUCCUCCACCAGGAACUAGGAGAAUGUUGUGUUAGAACCCUUUGUAG
rnacentral:lncRNA from 1 species